GGGGAUUUAGCUCAGCUGGUAGAGCAGUGGACUUUUAAUCCAUUUGUCGCGGGUUCGACCCCCGCAGUCCCUACCA
rnacentral:tRNA from 1 species